UGGGGAAUAUUGGACAAUGGGCGCAAGCCUGAUCCAGCCAUGCCGCGUGAGUGACGAAGGCCUUAGGGUUGUAAAGCUCUUUUUGGCGGGGAAGAUAAUGACGGUACCCGCAGAAUAAGCUCCGGCUAACUUCGUGCCAGCAGCCGCGGUAAUACGAAGGGAGCUAGCGUUGUUCGGAAUCACUGGGCGUAAAGCGCACGUAGGUGGGCAGUUAAGUCAGGGGUGAAAGCCCGAGGCUCAACCUCGGAAUUGCCUCUGAUACUGGCUGUCUAGAGUUCGAGAGAGGUGAGUGGAAUUCCUAGUGUAGAGGUGAAAUUCGUAGAUAUUAGGAAGAACACCGGUGGCGAAGGCGGCUCACUGGCUCGAUACUGACACUGAGGUGCGAAAGCGUGGGGAGCAAACAGGAUUAGAUACCCCCGUAGUCCC
rnacentral:rRNA from 1 species